UACGUAGGGGGCUAGCGUUGUCCGGAUUUAUUGGGCGUAAAGAGCGUGUAGGCGACCAGGUAGGUCUGCUGUGAAAACUCGAGGCUCAACCUCGAGACGUCGGCGGAAACCAUCUGGCUAGAGUCCGGAAGAGGAGAGUGGAAUUCCUGGUGUAGCGGUGAAAUGCGCAGAUAUCAGGAAGAACACCCGUGGCGAAGGCGGCUCUCUGGGACGGUACUGACGCUGAGACGCGAAAGCGUGGGGAGCGAACAGG
rnacentral:rRNA from 1 species